AGGGGUGUAGCUCAGUGGGAGAGCAACUGCUCUGCCUGCAGGUGAUCCCAGGUUCAGUCCCUGAUGGCAUCUCCA